CUCUUCUCUACUCUUCUCUUCUCUUUCGAUUCUAGGGCGAAGUCUCUUUUUCUGAUCUUGUUCGCUCGAGAUGAAUAAUCUUCUCACGGAUUCCUUUAAACUUCCCCAUGGACAAUACUUGAGUGGUGAUAUUGAAUCAGGUUUGCAAGGGCCAAAUACUGCAGAAUUUAGAUUGGAUGAAUUCUUUAAGCAGGUCCAAUCGAUCGAGAAACAGAUUAAGAAGUUAUCGAAGUUGUUGAAGAAAAUAAAG